AUUGAACGCUGGCGGCAGGCCUAACACAUGCAAGUCGAACGAGUGGCGGACGGGUGAGUAAUGUAUGGGAACCUGCCCGUUGGAGGGGGAUAACUACUGGAAACGGUAGCUAAUACCGCAUCCAAUUGGAUGUGCCCCGAUGGGAUUAGCUAGUAGGUGGGGUAACGGCUCACCUAGGCGACGAUCCCUAGCUGGUCUGAGAGGAUGAUCAGCCACACUGGAACUGAGACACGGUCCAGACUCCUACGGGAGGCAGCAGUGGGGAAUAUUGCACAAUGGGCGCAAGCCUGAUGCAGCCAUGCCGCGUGUAUGAAGAAGGUCUUCGGAUUGUAAAGUACUUUCAGUGGGGAGGCGUUACCAACAGAAGAAGCACCGGCUAACUCCGUGCCAGCAGCCGCGGUAAUAC
rnacentral:rRNA from 1 species